AGAGUUUGAUCCUGGCUCAGGACGAACGCUGGCGGUGUGCCUAACACAUGCAAGUCGAGCGAAGUGUUUGAGAAAGAUUUCUUCGGAUUGAUUCUUCAAAUAUCUUAGCGGCGGACGGGUGAGUAACGCGUGAGAAACCUGCCUUUCACAAAGGGAUAGCCUCGGGAAACUGGGAUUAAUACCAUAUGAAGUUUCUUUUUAGCCUUAAGAAGAAACCAAAGCGCAAAGCGGUGAAAGAUGGUCUCGCGUCCCAUUAGCUAGUUGGUGAGAUAAAAGCCCACCAAGGCGACGAUGGGUAGCCGGCCUGAGAGGGUGACCGGCCACACUGGAACUGAGACACGGUCCAGACUCCUACGGGAGGCAGCAGUGGGGAAUAUUGCACAAUGGAGGAAACUCUGAUGCAGCGACGCCGCGUGAGCGAAGAAGGCUUUCGAGUCGUAAAGCUCUGUCCUAGGGGACGAUAAUGACGGUACCCAAGGAGGAAGCCACGGCUAACUACGUGCCAGCAGCCGCGGUAAUACGUAGGUGGCGAGCGUUGUCCGGAUUUACUGGGCGUAAAGGGAGCGUAGGCGGAUUUUUAAGUGAGAUGUGAAAUACUCGGGCUUAACCUGAGUGCUGCAUUUCAAACUGGAAGUCUAGAGUGCAGGAGAGGAGAAGGGAAUUCCUAGUGUAGCGGUGAAAUGCGUAGAGAUUAGGAAGAACACCAGUGGCGAAGGCGCUUCUCUGGACUGUAACUGACGCUGAGGCUCGAAAGCGUGGGGAGCAAACAGGAUUAGAUACCCUGGUAGUCCACGCCGUAAACGAUGAAAUACUAGGUGUAGGGGUUGUCAUGACCUCUGUCCCGCCGCUCAACGCAUUAAGUAUUCCGCCUGGGGAGUACGGUCGCAAGAUUAAAACUCAAAGGAAAUGACGGGGGCCCGCACAAGCAGCGGAGCAUGUGGUUUAAUUUGAAGCAACGCGAAGAACCUUACCUAGACUUGACAUCUCUUGCAUUACUCUUAAUCGAGGAAGUCCCUUCGGAGACAGGAUGACAGGUGGUGCAUGGUUGUCGUCAGCUCGUGUCGUGAGAUGUUGGGUUAAGUCCCGCAACGAGCGCAACCCCUAUUGUUAGUUGCCAUCAUUAAGUUGGGCACUCUAGCGAGACUGCCCGGGUUAACCGGGAGGAAGGUGGGGAGGACGUCAAAUCAUCAUGCCCCCUAUGUCUAGGGCUACACACGUGCUACAAUGGUCGGUACAAUAAGACGCAAGCCCGCGAGGGGGAGCAAAACUGGAAAACCGAUCUCAGUUCGGAUUGUAGGCUGAAACUCGCCUGCAUGAAGUCGGAAUCGCUAGUAAUCGCGGAUCAGCAUGUCGCGGUGAAUGAGUUCCCGGGCCUUGCACUCACCGCCCGUCA
rnacentral:rRNA from 1 species